rnacentral:rRNA from 1 species
GGAGGAAAAGAAACUAACAAGGAUUCCCCUAGUAACUGCGAGUGAAGCGGGAAAAGCUCAAAUUUAAAAUCUGUCAGUCUUUGGCUGUCCGAGUUGUAAUCUAGAGAAGUGUUAUCUGCGCUGGACCGUGUACAAGUCUCCUGGAAUGGAGCGUCAUAGAGGGUGAGAAUCCCGUCUCUGACACGGACUGCCAGGGCUUUGUGAUGCGCUCUCAAAGAGUCGAGUUGUUUGGGAAUGCAGCUCAAAAUGGGUGGUAAAUUCCAUCUAAAGCUAAAUAUUGGCGAGAGACCGAUAGCGAACAAGUACCGUGAGGGAAAGAUGAAAAGAACUUUGGAAAGAGAGUUAAACAGUACGUGAAAUUGCUGAAAGGGAAACGCUUGAAGUCAGUCGCGUUGUCCAGGGAUCAACCUUGCUGUUGCUUGGUGUACUUUCUGGUUAACGGGUCAGCAUCAAUUUUGAUCAUUGGAAAAAGGUUAGGGGAAUGUGGCAUCUUUGGAUGUGUUAUAGCCCUUGGUUGCAUACAAUGGUUGGGAUUGAGGAACUCAGCACGCCGCAAGGCCGGGUUUUUAACCACGUACGUGCUUAGGAUGCUGGCAUAAUGGCUUUAAUCGACCCGUCUUGAAACACGGACCAAGGAGUCUAACAUGCCUGCGAGUGUUUGGGUGGAAAACUCGAGCGCGUAAUGAAAGUGAAAGUUGAGAUCCCUGUCGUGGGGAGCAUCGACGCCCGGACCAGACCUUUUGUGACGGUUCCGCGGUAGAGCAUGUAUGUUGGGACCCGAAAGAUGGUGAACUAUGCCUGAAUAGGGUGAAGCCAGAGGAAACUCUGGUGGAGGCUCGUAGCGAUUCUGACGUGCAAAUCGAUCGUCAAAUUUGGGUAUAGGGGCGAAAGACUAA